UACGGAGGGGGCUAGCGUUAUUCGGAAUUACUGGGCGUAAAGCGCACGUAGGCGGCUUUGUAAGUAAGAGGUGAAAGCCCGGAGCUCAACUCCGGAACUGCCUUUUAGACUGCAUCGCUUGAAUCCAGGAGAGGUGAGUGGAAUUCCGAGUGUAGAGGUGAAAUUCGUAGAUAUGCGGAAGAACACCAGUGGCGAAGGCGACUCACUGGACACGUAUUGACGCUGAGGUGCGAAAGCGUGGGGAGCAAACAGG
rnacentral:rRNA from 1 species